UAGUAUGCUGACAUUUCACAGUUGAUAUCCUCAUAUCUCCCUUUCACUUGAUGGGCAGGGAUGGGAAUUGAGGUGCCCUUUUCAAACAAAACAUGCUUUCUUUUUUAGCAUCUAUGAAUGUUGACUACAACAAAUCUAUUUGACUGAAUUCUACUUGUUUUCUAAAUCCCUAUGUGGUAUACCUAAUGCAGCGGCUAGCCAGUAUUGGAAAAAAUGCUGAAUAGCUCUCUAUGAGAUCAUUGUAUGUUUGACUCAAGGAUUGCUAUGCUCAAAUGUAUAUUUAUUUUAGAAAUUUUAAAGAAAGUAACUUUUAUGCCACCUUUCAUUUCCUUUUCCCUUCACUAGUUUGAGUACUUGCAUUUUAUAGAUUUAAAGGUGUCACAGAAAUUGGUGCCAAAAUACCUUCUUGGACAGUUUGAUGACAUCAGACGCAGUGUUUCCCAAAUCUUGAGAGUAAAAGGCAUUAUCCAGUUUAGUUUAAUACUGUGUUUUGAACUUAUUUUUAUUUCAUAACCUGCAACAAUUAGAUGACCAAGCAAUUUUCUCAAAUGGAAGAAAUGAGUUUUGCCAAAAAGAUAGGGAAUUGCUCUUAGGCAUUAAGCUUCUUUUUCAAAGGCAGUUUCAAAUAUCAGACACUUUCAGCAGAAAUAUCUCAUGCUUGUUCUCAGCCCUGCAGUAAAUUUGGUUAUGGGAAAUUUAAUACAGUCUGUGUGGAGAGUCUGGAGAUAAGUAAGUAUGUUGUUUCCUCUUGGGUAACUCCAAAUUGUUUUCUUUAAACUUGUGAUUUAGCAGGUAAUCCUCCAGGUGAACCUUGACAAUCUGGUUACACUAUACCACCAACAACUGGGAGUAGCAGGUGACUGGCUAGCUGCUUCAUCACCUCUAGCCCUGGGCCUCGUAGAAAGAGACAUGAGAAGGUCACAUCUGGAAGGGUGCUUGCCAAAAAUGCUGACCACAACAAAAACUGGACAUACUCAAGUCACUUUGAUCAACAGAGAUACUUGGGUGAUUUAUGUCCUCUUCAGAUCCUCUGGACUGCAACUCUCGCCAACCUUUAUGAAGGAUAUAAGAUGUGCACAGCCCACACUCCAGAUGAGGCUGUUCUUUGAAACCCUGGACAACUGAGAAAGAAUAAUGUACUUCAGCAAUGAAGCCUCUGAUCACUGCCUUCUUGGAUCUACCAGAAAAGUCAGUGUAGUCAGACAAUCCUUCAUAUUUGCUAUUCAUGUGAUUAUUUUUUAAUAUAGAUGAGCAUGCCUAUGUAUUUAAACUGAUUUUUUUUCUCCCACAUUUACCAUCUUUAGCCCCUUACUGAACACACUGAAAUGAACUAGAAGCAAAUCAUUUGAGUUCAAUUAUCCCUAGUUCUCAGUAUAUG